rnacentral:rRNA from 1 species
UACGAAGGGGGCUAGCGUUGCUCGGAAUCACUGGGCGUAAAGGGUGCGUAGGCGGGUCUUUAAGUCAGGGGUGAAAUCCUGGAGCUCAACUCCAGAACUGCCUUUGAUACUGAAGAUCUUGAGUUCGGGAGAGGUGAGUGGAACUGCGAGUGUAGAGGUGAAAUUCGUAGAUAUUCGCAAGAACACCAGUGGCCAAGGCGGCUCACUGGCCCGAUACUGACGCUGAGGCACGAAAGCGUGGGGAGCAAACAGG